AACACAGUACAAAGUAUACCUCCGUGACAUUUUGCACAUCAAUAUCUUAAAAUGUUUCUGCAAGUCAGACACAAUCAUUGCAUGGAUAUGCAACUGCUGACACCGUGCAUUCAUCUGAAAAGGAAGCAGGGACAGGUAUGCCCAACAGAGUGCAACCUGAUAACUGGCUGCUAGAAGUGGAGCGGUGGUACCAAUUCAUCACGGAAGUACAGAAAAAUAUCAAUUUUUUUUUUCAGUAACAACUUAGUGCCAAAAUUACUUUGAAAAAAAAAAUUUGCAACUCUGGAUCUUUAGGAAUCAGAUAAAUAUUAACUCAAAAAAGAAAGAUCAGGUGUUCCAAUUGCUAUGAGCAGCUUGUGAUAACAUGUCUACAAAGAGCAGAAAUCCUGGAAGUAACUUCCCACAUGGUCCUUUUGGGUUCCCUUUGGUACGUGAUGGAAUCACCACAGAGCCGCUUCUAUUUGCGGUGUCUCCUGGGACAACUUCUUCCAAAUGCAAUGACUCACAGCUCAUUGAAUUUAAAGCUGUUUGCAGGCCAUGAAACUGAGGUCUGCCACAAGGGCCAAGAAAUCCUACAGCCUCCAUGACAAAAAGCAAACCUAGCACAAGUAGCCAUAAGUUACAGUGCAUAGAAGGUAUUCUGUUUGUCCUCAAUAUGUUAUAAAUAAGCCCCUCUCCUCAGUUUCCAUGCUUGAAAUCCCUCUUAUGGGGUGUGGCAAUCAUGAUUUGAACAAAUGGCAAAUUUUCUCCUUGAAUAGUCAGAGGUCCACUUAUUUCAGAUGCAGUUGUGCUAAAACCUACUUCAACUAUUAGUAAUUUAGCUCAGUAGUAGACAAAAUAAAAGGGUGCAAUAAUUGAUUCCUACUAGAGAAAGGAAAUCCAGUCAAAUAGACAAGUGUUGUUUAUUUCAGCUAUUUUACUUUACCAGUUAUAUGAUUUAGAAAUUAAGUUAUUCAGUAUUUAACAAGUAGGAAAAAAUUAUUGAGAAAACUAAACUAAAUAUCUUUUUCUUGUGGCAAUACUGAUUGCUGAGCUUUUCUACUGUGUAAAUAAGCACAAAAACUGCUUUGGGAUGUUUUAAUCAACAUCAGUGUUAUAAAAGCUACCUCAUGGACUUAGAUUUCACUACUGGUUAUGCUCAGAGGUUCGACAGUAUCCAACAGGACUCAGAACAAGAGGUUUGGAAUAUUCAGCAGAAAAUGAUGUUUACAGAAUAGGGGAAAGCUGAGCCCUUAUCUAACCCUCCUCCAUCUCUCACACCAUCCCCAAAGAGGUAGGGAGAUAUUGGGAUAAAGAGAGCAGUUUAUGCUAUAUAUCCAUGGGCAGAAAUAACCCUGCAAACCCCGUAACCUUGCAGAAACUGGCCUGAGCUGACCAUGUAAUUAACACAUACCAAAACCACCACAGUUCUCACUGUUACACUUCCACUUUGCUAAGAGCUUAUCAGAAAUACACACCCAGCAAAAAAUCCCCCAACAUAUCAGGGAGAGAAUUAUUAUCUCUUUUGCAAAUAGGAUACUGAGACAUAAUUGUAAAGAGAUCCAAAUAAAAACUGCCCCUGGCAAAGCAAAGAGACUCAAAUUCAUGAUUCAGCCCUGACAUGUUACAGCAGACUAAUCCUUCAGUGCUGUUUGAAACAUACACAACACGAGGGGGAAGCUACCCUUAACACUGCAUUUGCACAUUGAAUGUGUCUAAUCCCAAAUUUGUGCUCCAGACUCCACGAGAGCAGUGAGCAGAGAGCAGGAGGAGGCACAGUUUUUGAGCAUGAGGAUGUCCAGAGGCAGAACCCCAAACAGUUGCAUGGUAAAUUUUCAGGGCUCACGAUGUAAACAGCCCUCGAGUCAUGUUAUACCAUUUGUGCUAGUAAUUUUGAGGUUUGGUUUUUUGUUUUUUUUUUUAUAGACAAAGGGGUUUAUUGCUUAUUUAGAAGUUACAGCAUCUUUGCUCAAAGGUGAGACUGCCACAGUUAUUUUUAACUAAGUACACCAGGAAGAAAAAUUGGAAAUCAGAUCAUUUCUCUGGUUUCUGUGAACUUUGCUUUACUAAGCAAAAAAAAAAAAAAAAAAAAAAAAAAAAAA